rnacentral:rRNA from 1 species
CCUUGUACACACCGCCCGUCACACCAUGGGAGUCAGUUGCUCCAGAAACGGGCUGCCUAACCGCAAGGGGGGCGCUCUUUAAGGAGUGACUGGUAACUGGGGUG